rnacentral:lncRNA from 1 species
CUAAUUGUCACUAAUUAUCUUACGGAAGCAUUGACUUUCACUUAUUUCUUAACUGAUCUCUAACAGGAGUACCUGUUCUAGAGAAAAGAAAGUUGAACAGAUCAUGAAUAAGAUAUCUAUACCAAAAUAACCAAAAAUGCUCAGAUAAAAAACCAUGUUAUUUUCCUUCAGAAAAUUGCAUGCAGCAAUUGCUGACAUCACUGGUGAUUUGUC